GACGAACGAUGGCGGCGUGCCUAAUACAUGCAAGUCGAACGCAGUGGGGACGGGUGAGUAAAACGUGGGUAACCUCCCAUCAGAGGGGAUAACACUUGGAAACAGGUGCUAAACUGAUAUUGUUGGAUGUACCCGCGGUGCAUUAGCUAGUUGGUGAGGUAACGGUCGACCAAGGCCACGAUGCAUAGCCGACCUGAGAGGGUGAUCGGCCACACUGGGACUGAGACACGGCCCAGACUCCUACGGGAGGCAGCAGUAGGGAAUCUUCGGCAAUGGGCGAAAGUCGGACCGAGCAACGCCGCGUGAGUGAAGAAGGUUUUCGGAUCGUAAACCUCUGUUGUUAGAGAAGCGGUAUCUAACCAGAAAGCCACGGCUAACUACGUGCCAGCCGCCGCGGUAAUAC
rnacentral:rRNA from 1 species